UACAGAGGGUGCGAGCGUUAAUCGGAAUUACUGGGCGUAAAGCGCGCGUAGGCGGUCUGCUAAGCGAGGUGUCAAAUCCCCGGGCUUAACCUGGGAAUUGCAUUUCGAACUGGCAGGCUAGAGUGUGGAAGAGGGGUGUGGAAUUUCCGGUGUAGCGGUGAAAUGCGUAGAGAUCGGAAGGAACACCAGUGGCGAAGGCGACACCCUGGUCCAACACUGACGCUGAGGUGCGAAAGCGUGGGGAGCAAACAGG
rnacentral:misc_RNA from 1 species